rnacentral:rRNA from 1 species
AUUGAACGCUGGCGGCAGGCCUAACACAUGCAAGUCGAGCGAGCGGCGGACGGGUGAGUAAUGUCUGGGAAACUGCCUGAUGGAGGGGGAUAACUACUGGAAACGGUAGCUAAUACCGCAUACCAUCAGAUGUGCCCAGAUGGGAUUAGCUAGUAGGUGGGGUAAUGGAUCACCUAGGCGACGAUCCCUAGCUGGUCUGAGAGGAUGACCAGCCACACUGGAACGAAGAAACGGUCCAGGCUCCUACGGUAGGCAGCAGUGGGGAAUAUUGCACAAUGGGCGCAAGCCUGAUGCAGCCAUGCCGCGUGUAUGAAGAAGGCCUUCGGGUUGUAAAGUACUUUCAGCGAGGAGGCGUUACUCGCAGAAGAAGCACCGGCUAACUCCGUGCCAGCCGCCGCGGUAAUUC